GGGGAAUAUUGCGCAAUGGGCGGAAGCCUGACGCAGCGACGCCGCGUGGGGGAUGAAGGCCUUCGGGUUGUAAACCUCUUUCAGCGGGGACGAAGCCUUCGGGUGACUGUACCCGCAGAAGAAGCACCGGCUAACUACGUGCCAGCAGCCGCGGUAAUACGUAGGGUGCGAGCGUUGUCCGGAAUUAUUGGGCGUAAAGAGCUCGUAGGCGGUUUGUCACGUCGGAUGUGAAAACCCGGGGCUUAACCCCGGGCCUGCAUUCGAUACGGGCUGACUAGAGUUCGGCAGGGGAGACUGGAAUUCCUGGUGUAGCGGUGAAAUGCGCAGAUAUCAGGAGGAACACCGGUGGCGAAGGCGGGUCUCUGGGCCGAUACUGACGCUGAGGAGCGAAAGCGUGGGGAGCGAAC
rnacentral:rRNA from 1 species